GGGAAUAUUGGACAAUGGGCGCAAGCCUCAUCCAGCCAUGCCGCGUCAGUGAUGAAGGCCUUAGGGUUGUACAGCUCUUUUAUCCGGGACGAUAAUGACGGUACCGGAGGAAUAAGCCCCGGCUACCUUCGUGCCAGCAGCCGCGGUAAUACGAAGGGGGCUAGCGUUGCUCGGAAUCACUGGGCGUACAGGGCGCGUAGGCGGCGUUUUAAGUCGGGGGUGAAAGCCUGUGGCUCAACCACAGAAUGGCCUUCGAUACUGGGACGCUUG
rnacentral:rRNA from 1 species